CACGGACCAAACUCCUACGGGAGGCAGCAGUGAGGAAUAUUGGUCAAUGGGCGUAAGCCUGAACCAGCCAAGUCGCGUGAGGGAUGAAGGUUCUAUGGAUCGUAAACCUCUUUUAUAAGGGAAUAAAGUGCGGGACGUGUCCCGUUUUGUAUGUACCUUAUGAAUAAGGAUCGGCUAACUCCGUGCCAGCAGCCGCGGUAAUACGGAGGAUCCGAGCGUUAUCCGGAUUUAUUGGGUUUAAAGGGUGCGUAGGCGGCCUUUUAGGUCAGCGGUGAAAGUCUGUGGCUCAACCAUAGAAUUGCCGUUGAAACUGGGGGGCUUGAGUAUGUUUGAGGCAGGCGGAAUGCGUGGUGUAGCGGUGAAAUGCUUAGAUAUCACGCAGAACCCCGAUUGCGAAGGCAGCCUGCCAAGCCAUGACUGACGCUGAUGCACGAAAGCGUGGGGAUCAAACAGGAUUAGAUACCCUGGUAGUCCACGCAGUAAACGAUGAUCACUAGCUGUUUGCGAUACAGUGUAAGCGGCACAGCGAAAGCGUUAAGUGAUCCACCUGGGGAGUA
rnacentral:rRNA from 1 species